rnacentral:lncRNA from 1 species
GAAGCAAACAGAGUUUUGAGUAAGAUUGCGCAUGCAAAAAAAACCGCAGAAAUUAAGUGGAUGCUGAUGCAUCGAUCAUAACAACCUGAAGCGGGUUGUAGGGCGAGGGCGCGUCGGAGCCGUAGAGGUCCCACUGCCCGGUGGUGUUGCCGAUGUCGUCGAGGUCGAAGUAGACGCUCUUGUCGCCGUACUUGGCCACCACGGCGGCGCGGGGCCUGCGGGCGGAGCGGCAGGCGGCGCGGGGCGCCGGCCUGACGGCGAGCCUCCUGCCGGAGAUGGAGCUGCCGCCGAGGCCCUUCACGGCGACCGGCUGCACGGAGACGGCGGCGAGGGAGGCCAUGGCGUUCGCUGAGUACUGUCGAGGUUACUACCGGUAGUGUCCAAGUGCGUACGUGCGCAAACUUAAUUCGGCGGAUCGUGCUAAGGAUCCGAGACGUGUGUGGGAAGGGGCAGCUUCGCGCGGCUCGGAGAUGGCGAAGGCCCAUAGGGAGGGUGCCAUGUGGCCGGCUCCGGAUAGGCUUAUCCUCAUCUCCUGAUUCUGCUGCGAGCUGACUUGGCAUGCCAACAUGGAGCCCGCCUGCUGCACUGUACUACUAGCUUUGUUGGUUUCUGCUGUCCUUGUCCGCCUAGUCGCAACCCUCGGAAUCAAAUGAAGAAGAAAUCACGCUCGUAACAGUUUCAGUUCUACUGAUUCGGGCCUCGUGUGCAGUGCAUGGAUUAUGAACUUAUGAUUGAGCCAUUGACACAGAAAAGCUCCUCGUGAAAUCUUGAUGCUGGUAACUAGAUUUAAUCGGCUGCUUAAUGUUUGAAGGAUGGAUGGUGAUCACCGAUCAGUGAUGACUAGUCAAUGUCGACUGUUUUUUUCUUGGUGUGUCAAAUGGUCGAAGUAUAUAGCCAGGCUCUUUAGUUUAGGCCCAACACAGCUUCUAAUCAGACUAUUGGGCUUAGCCUGAUCGAACCAACUUCUUGAAGGCCGAACGGGCCCAAAACUUCCUGUGGAUUUCGAUUCCACGCGAAGCAACAGCCCACGCGAGCCUCACCCGCUUACGAGGAGUACCCUCUUUCCUUUCUCUCCUCUGACAGGCCCACACGGCCAUGCCGUACGACGCCCAGGUUUGGUUGGCCAGGUAGGCUGCGUGUACUGCUCGCAGUCUUGAAGAUGACGCAGGCAGCACGAGCGAAGGGACGAGUCCCACUCGCACCCGCACGGCCGCACCGCACGUCAAGACCGGCUCAGCUCCGGCCGGUCGAGAUCCACCGAUCCACUCCGCCUCACUGCACCGAGCCGAGCGGGGCGCGCGGGCGGCUCAGAUCACACCGCACCGGCGGGCGAUCACCGACGCCGACGCGGCGCCCCCACGCCAACGGCCGAACGCACCAUACAAGCUCGCCGUCGUGCUCCCCGACCCAACCCAACCCCACCCACUCCUCCCUCCCGCAGCUACAUCUCCCGCCUCGCCACCGCGCGGCGGGAGCUCGCCGAAGAGCUUCCUCCGCUCCCGCCCCGCGCCUCCCGUCCGCAGCCACGUCGGCUUCCCGCCGACCGCCUCGCGUUCUCGCGGUUUCCUGGUUCAGCUGAAUUUGUUGGCGGGGCGAGGCUGCGGAGCCAGAUCCCGCCCGUUCGCGCGCCUGGGACGGGGCGGUGGAUCGGCUGGGCGGAUCAGAUCUAUGCCCGAGAUCUAGGGUGGCUGGUGCGGAGGUGGAGGUGGUGAGCCGGCGGUAAUCGGAGGCCGGGGACAGGGAUGGCGUGGUGGUCGGGGAAGGUGUCGCUGGGCGGGCUGCAGGACAUCGCCGGAGCCGUCAACAAGAUCAGCGAGAGCGUGAAGAACAUCGAGAAGAACUUCGACAGCGCGCUCGGCCUAGAGGAGAAGCGCGACGAUGAAGAAGGUACGAUACGGACUCACUAAUGCUACAACCCUCCAUCCUGCCAUUCGCCUAUGUAGUGUAUGGGGAGGCAUUGGUGCAUGCUUGGCUGUGUAUGGACUUUAUAGUCCUGUCAGAAUUGACGGUGAAGGAGCGAUCAGUGGUCUUAGUUGUUACGUUCAAUUGAUAUCUGACCGGUCUGUGGACUGUGGUGGUUGAUAAUUGGCAUAUGUCCAAUUAUUUAUCACUUGGUUUUGGCAAAAAAUUGCUUAUCACUGGUUUCAUUUCAAUGUAUUGUCCAAAUUCGGUCUAUGAGUUUGAUGAAUUGUGUACUAUUGAUUUGCUUUGGCAGUUCUUCAAACUCUCUUACCAGUGUUGGAAGUGUAACGGAUUUUGCAUUCUUUCUGAGUUGCUGAAUUCUGUAGUAUUGAUUGGUUUAGGCAGUUUAAGCAAUAACUUUAUGCUUGCCUUUUUUUUACUGUUUCCUAUGGAUAGUUAAAGUUACCUUAACAUUAUUUUUUUACAUGGUUAUCAACAUGCUCAAAUAGAAUGUUUAUUUGUUAAUGCAGCUUCUGGAUCACGGACGUCCAACUCUGAUAGAAUGGGAUUCUUCAAUCCUGUCAUGGCUUUCAUGGGACAAAAUGGCGAGGAGGAUGGAACUGAUGUAUCAGAAAAGCCACAAUCUCCAAAGAAUUCGUCCCCAGAGGAAGAAAAUCAUAGCACCUCCACUAAGCAACGGACAUCUGAGGUAGAUGCUUCUGAAGUAUCAGGAACAAUAAAAUCUCCAAAGCAGCCUUCAAAAUUGGAAGAAGCUCACAGCAGCAUCUCCACUGAGUCACCUGUUUCUGAGCAAUCCAUGACGCCACAAACUUCAACACAUCCUUCAGCAGCAGAAGAAAAGCUUGAUGGCUCUGCUGAGUCACCCAUAUCUAAGGAGGAAGAUUUUGAAGCAUCAGAAACGUCACAAUCUCUGUCGCAUCCUUCACCACCGGAAGAAACUCAUAGUGGCUCCAUCGAGGAUAUAAGUUCAGUUAUGAAUGAGAACCAGGACAAUCAAGAUAGGAAACAUUCUGGCCCUAGUGAUGAAGCACUGCCGAAUCAGCUUGGAGAGUCUGCUGGAGACGUCCCUGAUGGUACAGCAUCUUCUUCACCUACCAAAAUAGAUCAGUCAGGUGACACCGAAACAGGGGAAUCUAUUCAUACUGGUCAGGAAGACGCAUCUGAUGGGAGCCCCUCGCAAUCACAACCAGCAGAGUCCACGUUAGCUAGUUCAGAUGAUAUAAUUGAAGCUGAGGACAAGAUUGCUCAAAAAUCUGAUGCCCCAAAAGAAAUGAGUAGUCCACAGGAUGGCAGCAAUAAGGUAGACAAAACUACUAAUCUUGAAGUCAAAGUACGUGAUGGCAGCAUUAAUACUGAAAAAAAUAAGGAAGAAAGCAAUAAGAUAGUGGCAGGGACAGCAUCUGUUGUUGGACAGGAGGAGAAUGUAUCGGAGCAGCCCGUUGACUUCAAAUCAAAGUCCAUAAUUGCAGAGCAUGAUUCACAUUCGCAGAAUGAGUCGGUGGUCAAUUCGACAGAUAUGCCUGCUGGACUAGUGGAAGAUUCUCCUGCGAAUGAUUUUAAAAAAGAAGAAAAGAUUCAGGAAUCUGUUGGAAGCACAAAUUCUCCGACUCCGGAAUUUGCUGGUUCUGUUGCUGAGCUAGAGAAAUUAAGACGUGAAAUGAAGAUGAUGGAAGCUGCAUUGCAAGGUGCUGCAAGACAAUCGCAGGUAUCAUUUCCACAUGCCCUAAUCUCUGCUCUGGCAAUUCAGUUAAAGCUUUUGGAGUUGUAUGCUAACAAAGUUACCCUCAGAUUAUUUCCCACAUAGAAGAGAAUAUUUUUAAUUUGUGAAUUCAUACUUUUUGUGGAAAAGAAGGGAAGCAUUUUAGCAAUUUGUGCAAUUCCUGUUUUAUGAUUAUUGAGUGGACAUUAGUACAUUUGAAAACAUUUAAUAGUUUACGGGUCCCAUCUUCUUUCAUUUAGUCGCAUCGUACUUGUCUCUUUAAUAUUCACUUUGUGCCUAACAGCACUUAAUUCUUUCCACAGUCCAAAGCUGAUGAAAUUGCAAGAUUGAUGAAUGAGAAUGAGCAACUCAAAGCAACAAUUGAUGAUCUCAAGGUAUGUUUGUGAGCAUAUUUUCCAUCUUUUGCUUCUGGAAGCACUACAUGGCAUCUUAAAUUUGGAUAUUGCCGCUGUUUUUAGUAAAAUUCUGUGGAAGCUGAAUGAUAUGAAUGUUGGAAAACUGUUCUCUGGAUUGAUCAUUAAAGCUGCAGUGCACUUAAACAUUUUUAAUCUUCGAUUGAUUGGUUUUUAAUAUGAUACAGAGUAAGUCGUCUGAAGCAGAAAUGGAUGCGCUUAAGGAUGAAUAUCACCAGAGAGUAGCAACUCUUGAAAGGAAGGUGAGGCACAUUACCACUUGUUACUUGAUGGUCCCAAAAAAAACUUGUUACUUGAUGAUUCUAUAGUCACUUGUGGCUUCCAGAUUUAGAGUAAUGACCAUUAGCGAAGGUGUAGUUACACAAUGCUACGAUUUUACCCAUUAGUUCUUGAAUGGACAGUGUUACACUUGCAUGCAUUAUUGCAACUGUAUCGCCUGCUUUUUUGCGUGAUGGUCCAAAUUUGUUACUCUUUGUGCUAGUUGUGGGAAUAGCUUAUGAUUUUCUUCUGUGUUUAACAACCAGCUAUUUAGCUACACCACUCACCAAGGAUAGAUUGGUUGAUAUGUGAUGAAUGCUAUGUGAAGUUGAUCAGCAAGCUUCAUUUCCUUUUUCUGUUGUUCCAGAAAAUCAGUAGUAAAAAACAAUCUUUAUUCUUGAGACAUUAUUUUUUGGUAUAAUCACCAGAAAUGUAAACUAGAUUCAGUCCUCGUGUUUUCUGGCUGCUAGUCUUGAAGAUUUUUUUUACUGUUCAUGCAUUUAUUCUAAUUCAUGUUGGUUGAGACAAAUUUAAUGAUAAAAGGAGAAACAACAGUAAGCUGCAUUUUGGGAUCAAUGAAAUGCCACUGCCAGGACGCCAUAUAAGUUACUAGAGUGUGUUUUCUCUGUCCUUUUCUUUCCUUUUCUAUUUUCUGGUUCAACCUGUACAGUUAUUUUCCUUUUUUGCCAUGGUUCAUCUAUACAUUAUUAUAUUAUGCUUAGGGCAUAAUCUUUUGUAAUUUGCGCGCCUUGAUGUGUCUAGGUGUAUGCACUAACUAAAGAACGGGAUACACUAAGGAGAGAACAGAAUAAGAAAAGUGAUGCAGCUGCCCUUUUGAAAGAAAAGGAUGAGAUUAUCACUCAGGUCAUGGCUGAAGGUAUGCAGGACCUAUGUAUUAUGCCUAUUCUACUAUGUUCAUGGUGAAUCAAUGUUAGAUCUCAUUAUUCAAAGGUCUGUCCUAGUGUCAUGUCGUGAAUACACAAAUCAUUGUUUCUCUUUGUUAAAUUCUAAUGACUUUUUCAAGCAUUGGUACCACCAUGGAAUACAAUAUAUCAUGCUGAUGUUACUUCUUAUGCUGCAAAGUCCAGAUGCCCAAUUAGAUCCCCAGUAAAUAUUUCCACUUUAUUUUGAGUUGGUUUUGAGCCAUCUAUUGACAUCAACAUCUUGUUUUUACUAUGAAACAGGUGAGGAGUUAUCCAAAAAGCAAGCUGCUCAAGAAGCCACAAUACGAAAACUGAGGGCACAGGCAUGGACUAAAACUCUAUGCCAUGCUCAAAUAAUAAAAUGCUUUGCUCAGUAUGACCAAUUGUGCUACUUUUUUGUUCUUCUGUUGAAGCUAGAUUCGUGAGCUUGAAGAAGAAAAACAACGGCUGAACUCAAAGAUCCAGGUAAAACAAAUACACUUUUUUAAUUUUUAAUGUAAUCCAAACUGAGUUCUUUUCUUAUUGACGUUGUGAUGCAAAGUAAUUAAAAUCUGCUUACCUUUUUGAAAAUCAUGAACAAUACAUAUUUUUGCUGGAUUUCAUAAUAUGGAGUCAGUUUUUUCUCCUCUUUGUUACUUUUGAUAUGACCUGAUGCUGUGGUGCAUUUAAACUGGGGUUUACAUCACAUGUAUUUCAUGAUGUGGUUGCAAUCAAAGAAGCUUACCUGUAUAGCUGUUUUUUGUGAUCAUAUAGAAAUUACACAAGCUUUUCUCCCCAUAUUAUGUUUAGAUAGAUGGAGCGAAGUUAGUUCCGUUUCUUGAACAAGAUGUCGUGUUCUGUUUGUCCUCAAAAGUAGGCAUGCACUUAGCAAUUUAUGACUAAACAGGUUGAGGAGACUAAGGUUGAGAGCAUUAAGAGAGACAAGGCAGCAACUGAGAAGUUGCUUCAAGAAACGAUAGAAAGAAAUCAGACUGAACUUGCAGCUCAGAAGGAAUUCUACACCAAUGCUCUUAAUGCAGCUAAAGAGGCUGAGGCAUUGGCUGAAGCAAGAGUCAACAGCGAAGCCAAAGUUGAACUGGAGAGCCUUUUAAGAGAAGCUGGCGAAAAAGAAAAUAUGCUGAUUAAGACAAUUGAGGAGUUGAGGCAUUCUCUUACCAGGCAAGAACAGGAGGUAAAUGCUGAACAUUUAUAUCCAGACCUUUUACCUAACUGUUAAUAUCCUUAGUAGAUGUAACUACUUUAUUUGCUGACCUGACUGUAAUCUAUGCCAUCUAGCUGUAUGCCUCAAGAGUAGUGACCUAUUUGACCAUCUACUUUGUAGCUGUUCAAUGUCAGUUCCAUUGACUGUAACUGUUUCUUUGGGUCCGUUUCAGGCUGCUUUCAGGGAAGAAAGGCUAAAAAGGGACUAUGACGAUCUUCAAAAGCGGUAUCAAGUAAGCAAGGCUCUUCUUGGUUAGCUGGUACCGAGCUGUAAAAUAGUCAUGGACCAAUUCUCACUUUCGCUAUUUAAUACUUCAGGCCAGUGAACUUCGUUAUAAUGAACUGGUCACACAAGUUCCUGAGUCUACCAGACCACUCCUGAGGCAAAUUGAAGCAAUGCAGGUAUUGGUCUUUCUAUGUGGCUUUUCUUAAACUUAUUUCACGUUUAGUUUGUUAUUUAUUCUUGGUGUAUUUGUCGCACUUCUGCUUUCCCCCCCAUAUUGAGCUCCUGUUGCUUUUGUUUUAAUCAAUUGUGUGAUAAUGUUAACAGGAGACUGCUGCUCGUAGGGAGGAAGCAUGGGCUGGUGUGGAGAGAACCUUAAACUCUCGCCUUCAGGUUUGUUAAAAAAUGUGUUUUACUGUAGCUGCAUAAAAGUAAUGAAGAAAACUUGAAGUAUAAGGGUUCUGUCAACUUAAUGCAUCAGGCAGAAAUACAGGAAGAUAUAUUUGAAGAACAUAGUAUAAUCUGUUCUUUUUCUUGAAUAUGCAGGAAGCAGAAGCUAAAGCUGCUGCUGCAGAAGAAAAGGAGCGGUCUGUAAAUGAGCGAUUGUCACAAAGUUUAUCCCGGAUAACUGUUCUUGAGACACAGGUUUGCGCGUUAAUCUCUUGCAAAAAAUGCUACUAUUAGGGUUUUAAACCUCAGUUUUAGAUUUAUAGUCAAGUAAUGUUGGGAUGACUAUGGUAUAUGCAGAUUACAAUUCUUAGAACAGAGCAGACACAGCUGAGCCGAUCUCUUGAGAAGGAGAGGCAGAGAGCAUCUGAAAGUAGACAGGAGUACCUUGCAAUUAAAGAGGAGGCAGCGAUACAAGAAGGACGGGCCAAACAACUCGAAGAAGAAAUAAAGGAGCUUAGGGCUAGGCACAAGAAGGAGAUGCAAGAAGCAGCAGAACACAGGGAACUGCUUGAGAAGGUAGUUAACUAUUACCUUCAAUAAUUUCAGAAAAAUAUCGUUUUACUAGUUAUGUGUUUGAUUGAUUUGAGAACUGUGUAUGAAAGUGAUGUUUUCUUGCCAAUUUCAUUAAUGAACCUAAUUUUAACUUAGUAAAUCGCAUAAUUUCUUUAGGAUCUUUGGUUUUCUUUCACUUGAACAGUUUUUUAAUGUCACUAAUUAUACGAUUGCUAUGAAAAAAUGAUAAGAAAUUAUCAGGCCGGUUUACCUUGCUUCUUCGUGCAUGAUCAACUUAAUUAGAAAUUUAGAAAGCCUGCAAUAAUUUCUUUCAUGAAUUGCACUUUCAGGACCUUGAAAGGGAAAAGGCUGCUAGGGCAGAAAUUGAGAAGACAUCUUCCCGUGAAGCACCUAAAGUUCCACUUCCUGAUCAAACAAGUACGCAUUUUAUUUUAUUCCAAUUAAUUUAUGCGAGUGAGACCCUACUUCUUUGCCUCUCUUUGGUACCUUACCAUCCCUCUAACAAUUUCCUGUUUUGCUCUUCAAAGGAAAUGCCCCUCUCAGAAAGCUCUCUAGUUCUGGAAGUAUAAAUAGUCUGGAAGAAAGCCAUUUCCUUCAAGCAUCAUUGGAUUUAUCUGACAAUGCUUCAUUAGAGAGGAGAAUGUCUUCAGAAAGUAAUAUGUCAUAUUAUCUGAGGACCAUGACUCCAAGUGCUUUUGAAUCAGCACUUCGUCAGAAGGAUGGAGAGCUGGCUUCUUACAUGUCACGCUUGGUAUGUAUAUGCGUCCUCCUGUUAUUUCACCUCAAACUGUUUAGUUCUGCAGUUAGUACCCCAUUAAGUUUUGUCACCUUUCUCCUGCUGGUAAACAAUCAUAGUGAACUUUAAGAAACUCACAGUAGUUGAUUAUUAGAGCUGGGGCUGCAGUAAGUAUAUAAGUUUGAAAACUAUGGAUGAUUUUCACUGUACAACUGAGUUUAUUCUUGUCCAAAAUAUAUCUUCACACUACUUUUUUUAAAAAAUGGUGCAACUUUCAAAAUGCCUGCACAGUUAAGCCAACCGUAUUUUUGCCAAAAACUGGCUACAUGACUUCUAUCUAACAGCAUCUAAAAUUUAGUAGGUUAUUUAUUGCCUGGAAAUGAUAUCUGCUGCCUAGCUGUGUCAUAUCCCGCACUGGUUCGAAAAUCCUUAGUACCUUCAGAUCUAUACACAUAAUCUUGCGGAUCAUGUCUAGAAGUGGGAGUUGCUGUUUUGGGUGGUUUCGGAAUCAUAUUCUGAUAAAGAAAUGUUCCUACAAUAUAUGAAGUCAUAUGUGCUUCGCUGUUGGCAACCUUUCAAGCUAUAUUAUUUCUUUCAUAUUGUUUGUUUAAUAUUGAUUAAGGCGGAAGUCACUAAAAAAAUUCAUGAUUUUAUUUUUUUUUCAUUUGUUACCCUGAUCUGAUCUGAUCUGAACGUUUUUUCUCUGAAAAUGAUGUUGGUGGUGUGUUUCAGGCCUCUUUGGAAUCUAUUCGGAAUUCACUGGCAGAGGAGUUGGUGAAAAUGACAGAACAAGUAAAUCCUGGCAUUCCAAUCAGAGUUUUACUUCUUUAUCUGUAUGUGUGCAAACUGAACUGAACUUUUAUGCAGUGUGAAAAGUUACGGACAGAAGCUGCUGCUCUGCCUGGCUUAAGGGCUGAAUUGGAAGCUCUGAAACAAAGACACUUUCAAGCUCUAGAACUUAUGGGUGAACGUGAUGAAGAGGUAUCGCUCUCGCUCCCAUGCAACGCAUCAUAAGCUGUCACUAAUCAGUAAUUGAUUGGCUGGUUUCUGUUUACAUUUUCUUGGGUACAUUCUGCCUAUAAGGCUAUAACCUUAUGAAGCUAGGAGUGAAAAUGGUUCAGGUAUAACCAGCUGGUCAGGAGGGGCCUGCAGCACCCCCCGGCAUGCCUGUUCUGUGACCAAGCGCAGGAAACAGCCCCACACCUGCUGUUAGCUUGUUUUUUAACCAGACAAAUUUGGACUUCUCACAUCUCAAUCUGGUAGUUGAUGUGCCGGUAAACUCCUCUAGCUUCUCGGCUUGGUGGGGCAAAGUCAUUAGAGCUGCUCCAAAUCAGUGGCGAAAGGGUUUAAAUUCGCUCAUCAUUUUGGUGGCUUGGGAGAUUUGGAAACAUAGAAAUUCUUGCAUGUUUGAAGGUGUUCUCCCUAACUCCCAGGUGCUCCUGCAGGCCAUAACAAAUGAAAGCACCCUGUGGUGCUUGGCUGGAGCUUCUAAGCUCAAAGAGCUGCUUCUAGGUCGCUUGUAGCACCAUCUUAGGCUUGGUGCUCUCUGGUCGGUCUUUCCUUGUUUUGGGUGUGUAGUGUUUUGUGAGUGUUGGGGUGUGUUCGGUACUUAGUCUGGGGGCUCUCCCCUCUCUAUGUACUUUCUUUUCUAUCUUAAUGAAAUGACAUGCAGCUCUCCUGCGUAGUUCGAGAAAAAAAAAAGAAAAUGGUUCAGGUAAGCUCAGCCAACAGGCAUAGGCUUAUGAAUGUUGUAUGGGUCUAGUUAUCAGUCCUGACAAAAACUAGUUUGUUUUAUAAGCUGGGAAACAGGACCCUUUCAGGAUCGUAGGGGGUAUGAUGAAUUCAAGAAAGAGUUAAAGUGUCAGCAAUGCAUUUUACACGUUUGCAUUAUGCAAUAGUGAAAAGUUGGUUGGUAAUUAUUUGUAAGCUAGAGUAUUGAACAUAGUGGUAACAGUGUGCAGUAUGGAAUGCAAACACUCAUUUGCGGUUAAGUUUGAAAAAUAAGAAGUGCAUAAAGAAACUAUGUAAAAGUACUUUUUAUUCUAAAAUGUACUUUAAUUUUGAUUCUGUUUUGCAGCUGGAAGAACUAAGAAAUGAUAUCGUUGACCUAAAAGAGAUGUACAGGGAGCAAGUGGAUCUUCUCGUUAGCCAGGUUUGAGUCUUGCUUAUCUGCUGAAACCGCACCUUUUACGACAAAGGCCUACAUGAGCCGUUGCCCUAACCCAUGUUUUUCCCUUUACCAGCUCCAGGCAUUGGGUGCUCGUGUAUAGUGCUGGUACGGCUUUGUCGUGUCAUCAAAUUCUUGUUCAGUGCAUUGACCAAGUCCAAGAUAACAGGUCAGAGACUUGAGAAUGUUUAUUCAAAAUUUUGUAACCAUACAACGACACUCAAAAUAUUCGUUUGUAUACAUCUUAUGAUCUUAAGCAGCUUCGGUGUUGGGUUUAGGAGGAUACGUUGUUGUAUACUAGGCUGAAUAGUUUCACAGUUUUACGUGUAUUCUUUGCGAUUUGUUUUCAUCUAGUGUAUCGAAUUUGAGAAUCCAUUUGCAAUGUGUACCUCAGAGGAAUGCAAUCAAUAAUAUCAAGAGCCCCUUUUGUCGCUUUUCAUGUUUUCUAAGUUUUAUUCUUCCGAUCGGACAUGGAAACCAUGUUGAAGGCAAAUACAGUAAUGAGUUACAACAAUGAUUAUUCCAGAGUUUCUGUUCAAGCCUUCCAAAGUUUCAUCUCUCUCUCUCUCUCUCAUCUCCUUCCCCAUUGUCAGCAAAGAUAUAAAAGAGAGUAGGGAAAUUCUGUUUGAAAGUAGUGUCCACAUGCUCCUCAUCAAAUCAAAUCUCGCCUAACUAAUGCAAAUUCGAAGACAAAUUUGUUUUUAAUCGUAGCGCGGAUAGACGAUACAAAAUCCUUAUCUCCACACUUGCAAUAUAUUUAUUCAGAUCUUUAUUUUUUAUAACUGUAGCAUGUCAGCAUGUGUAAUUUGUCAUGCUACACAGCAGUGAAACGCGCAGCUCGGCAGAACAAAGCCGAAGCCACGACGCCGUAAUGCAGCCGGCGUGCCGGCGGUCGGUCCGCCUCCGCCCCGAGCCUCCUGACGCGCGACGCGAGCGCGCCAACCUUGGGCCGGGCCGCGUGCACCACCCGCACCGCGGCCUUGACCACGGCGUACACGGCGACCGCGCGCGCCAGCCUCAGGUCGGCCGCGGCCGCGGCGGCGACGCGCGCGGCCGGCCCCGCGAGCCCGCGCGCGUCGGAGGCCGCGAGCGCGAGCGCCGCGAGCAGCGCGCCGGCGAGGAAGGCCAGCAGCGCCAGGGAAACGGCGGCGAGGAGCGCGCCGGAGAAGGCGCAGCCGUAGAGGAGCGCGACUAGGAGGAGGUCCAGGUGAUGCGUCGCCAUCUCGCCGCGGGCACGCUGCUGUGCACGGGGUAGCUGAUCUCGCGAGCCAGCGAAGGUGCCCGCGGGCGGACCAGCUGAGAAGGAGGCGUACGCGGACCAUCAUGAGUGGCAUUCGAUGCUGGUGAUACCUUUCGAUUCUUUGGGGUUUUCUGUUGCCUGCAGAGAGCGUUUGGUAUGCUUCAGACGGUGGCAACGAAGCAGGAAGGUACUAGACAUGGAAAGGUUGCAGUGUUUGCCACGAGAAAUAGCUCAGAGCUCCGUGCAUCGUAUGGUUGUUUCCGUGGGGUUAGUUGGUUGACAGCCGGGUGAUGUGGCAGCUGAACCAUAGUGCCGGCGAAACUCGAAAGCAUCCCCGGAAGUAGCCGGGUGCUUGGAUGCUGGAUUAGCCUGUAUUGGUCACUAACUGGUCGUUCACAAUGAUUCUCGCUGCAAAUGAGCUGGACUCACCUGAUAUGCGAUGCAUAUAACAAUACAAGAGACAGUGGUCCGAUGUAUCCAAGAACGAACGGUCAAUGACCGUGCCUGUACGUUGCUGAUGUCGAUUUGCCCAUUGGCAUCGUCAAGCGUAUGACUUGAGCAGAGGCCACCAGCCCAACUCAAAUGUUGCCAAAAGAAAGCCAUUCAGAUUCAGGUAGCAGGCCGAAGAAGCGCCCUUCAGUAGCUGUCAGAACAUAGACACGCACUAGCUGGUCCUGCAGACGUCGCUCUAGCUCGAUCCUUUACCAUGACUCCAUGAGAUCUGUUUGCUGCAAAAGAAAUUCAAACAAAAUUUAGCACCAAAUUCAUAGAUAAAAAAUUAAAUUAAAUAUUGAUAAAUAUAUUGAAAAAUGACAUUUAAAAACGUAGAUAAAAAUAAGUACAAGAAGCCAGGAAAAAUACGAGGAGAAUUGGGGGAAAAACGUAAAUCGUCGACAGCAGGAUUCGAACCUGCGCAGGCAAAGCCCAACAGAUUUCGAGUCUGUCUCCUUAACCACUCGGACAUAUCGACGCUUGUGUCUUUGCAAUUUUUUCCGAUUUUAUAACAUAAAGUGUUAGUCAUUACAAAUCCAUCAGUUCAUCCUGAACUAGUGUAGACCCAUCUUUGACCUCAUGUAAGAUCACUGUAUGAAACAGUCAAGCCUUCAGCAUAGAACACAGAUCGUGUGCUAGAACAUGUCUACGCACAGAGUCCUGGUAUCUUGUUUCCCUGUAGUUGAAACUCUGGUGUAAUUUCGGUUUGUGAAAUGCUCAUGCUUGUAAAAAAAAAACAGACUUGCACCAUUAAAAAGUCACAACAGCUCUGACGAAAAGAAUCCAAGAUACGCCGUAGCAUACAUUCAUACCGCCGUUCAGUACGCCUGACCUGUGUCGGCCGAGAGGUUUAUCAAAUGACCAAGAAAUCAGACCUCAAACAGGCCAACCUCUUUUGAAGGUAACAAACAGGCCAACCUCACUGUUACAAAUCACAAGCGUAGUGUUGCAAUGCCAUUGCUUCGUGGGAAAGCAACCCGUGAAAAGCCAACAAACGACUGGAUCAACAGCUCAAAAGGUUAGCUUAGGAGGGCAGGCCUCAGUAUCCGUUCCGGCUAUAUUAGCCUCAACUUCACCUGUUUUGCAUAAAACGAGGCAAUGUAGCACGAAACCAUUUUGUAAGCCGAAAAGGUUAAAAUGAACUUGAAGCCACUAUUUUUGGCUUCACCGGUGUUCCCUUCCAAACGGGGAAUCUCUUCACGUAUCAAGACGGUAUUUGCCUUUGCUCUUAAACAGUUUCAAUGUAUGCGAGCUUUUACAUCUGUAAGGUAACACAUAUGCAAAAACAGAAGAACCUAAAAAAACACUCUACAUGCAGUAUCUAGCUGGUGAAUAUAAGGAGAGAGAAAAAAAUAAAGAGCAUAAAAGGAAUACACAAAAGAAAGAGAAGAAAAAGAUCCUGUCUUGAUUGGCCCUGCAACAGAUCUGACAAUGCUGAAGGCAGAUCUCUGCACGUAAUAUCCAUGUAAUCUUUGGUGCAACCUCUUCAGGAUGGCAUCAUCCAGCAACCCAACUGGGAGUCUGGAAGUUGAAAUUUCGAACCAUCGUGCCACUGGAAACGUCCUUUGAGCUUCUGGCUGACUGAGAAAAAUCACCUCUCGGAGCAGACAUAGUGCAGCAGCAAGAAACUAUAUUACAGGCAUGUUGGCUUCUAGGUACUUAUAUAGUGCCCAGCCUGUGGGGUAGUUUAGUUGAGGAGGUUCCAGGUUGAAAUUCCAGACCAUAACCCUGUUGCAAUUGUCUGGAAGACCCUCUAUUUGGCGUUCAUUUUUAACAAGCUUCUCUAUAAAUCUCGACUCCUGCAAAGAGACAUGUCAGGCCAGAACAUUUUCUCAUUAUUAUGAUCAAGUAGACAAGUAGAACUCAAUUGUAGAUAUAACUUUUCACCAUACAGUUUGUUAGCCAUGAUGCAUUCCAAUUUGUUUGAUUAUAGUAUAAAUGGUGACAGCUUGAAGAGAUCCAUAAGAUACUUAUGGUUUCUUCUGAUUUUCUUCGUUAUAAAUCUUAUAUGAUUGGAGGAGCAAAAAUGUAUUAUGCUCUGUAGCAAAAUUGGUCAUUUCUGCGGAUAACUACUGCUAAUCAUCUAUGCAGUAUGCUGUAUGGAGAGCUGUAAAAAAAAUCCUAACUACCAACUAGGAUGAGUGCUGAUUUUACCCAAUUGAAGUUCCAUCAACUAUGUGAAAAACUACUUAAAUCUGAUAACUGCAGUUCACUGUUUACAUUAGAAGUUUAGAUAAAAACACACCUGCAAACCACCUCUUCCACCUGAGUGGACUAUAACAGAAUCCAUAGCUGGGCGGUUCCAUCUCUGAGGGUCCCACAACAUUGUACUGUUGAAAGCAAAUGCAGAGAAACCAAUUGGGAAUCGACGAAUCAUACUCUUCUUUAGAGCUGUCUGGAUUGUGUGCCAUCCAGUGACUCGGCUACCUUUACAAAUAGGGCCUUCCAAAACUGCCCUAUACUUAGUUCCAACAUGGAUUGCUACAGGCCACGAGCCAAAGCGCCUGAAAAAAGCAUAGCGGUUCAUGAGAAGGGAAGCAGGGGUGUCUCAUUUAAAUUCUACUGAAAUAUGGCUAGGCUAGCAGAUCUUUUGACCUGAAACUUUUGGUUAGCGGUUUCAGAACAGACAUCAGAGCAUUGUGGUUUUCUGGCUGCAUCAUUCAUAUCAAGACUAACUUGAUGCUCUUAUGAGUCAACAAAACACACAUCUUUUGUGUUAAGCUAAAGGGUAAAAAUUAAAAUCUCUAUAUAAAUUACAUGGAUAAAACUUUCUAACAGCUAAAUAUGAACCAUCAAGGCAAUCUGUAGAUAAGUUCACUACAAGUAUACCAGUACAGCAAGAAAAAAAAAAUGCUGUAGCGUUCUGACCUGAUUUUCUGCAUUUCUUCAAAUACAUCAGCUGAGUAUGACCGCUCUUCAUCUGCAAAAUGCAUUAUACCAUCCAGGUGAUGCUUUUUGACAUGAUAGAUUGCAUUAUUCCUUUGACAGACAGCGAUCUUUCGUACACUUGUAGUAUUCUUUCUACAUAUAAGAUGCCUGUACAUAACCCCAGAAGACCUCAGAAUCUCUGCUGUUUCAUAGGACUGUUCAGGCCAUUCCACCACUAACCACAAAAGAGGUGCAUGUACAUCUUUCAAGACAUGGGCUAACCGAUUCAAGUAAUAUGGCUGUUGUGGCCGAACAGAAGUAAUUGUCACGAUUAUCAACAGCUUCUUCACAGCGAUGUCUGAUUCUUUAAUAGCAGGUAAUGCACGUGUUGAUUCAGCAAAAUCUGCCUCGUCAUCCAACAUUGCAGGAACUGGAGGGCUCUCUCCAACUUCUGGCUCAUCAAUCAGUUCGACCUCUUUCUCGACUACAACUGUCUCCAACUCCUUAACUUUAGUAUCCAUCAUCUCCGCCUCAAUCACAUUCUCGUGGAACGGAAGCCUUUCAUUUUCAGAGACAAUUUUCUUAUAAACAUCAACCGAGAAGAAUGGCAUGAAGCCAAUGAAAAUGCCAACCAUGAAACACAGCAACAGAUGAAUUGCGGCUCUCUUGCAGCUCAAUCCCCUUGUUUUCGAUCUCUCCUGAGAUCGAAUAUGCCUAUGGGACGUCAUACCUGCCCAUGCAGAUUUUAGCUUGCUUGACAACAGGAAAAAGUCCAAGGACACCACCGAGGCCAGCAACCCCCUCAUUGCAACAUAGGACUGUGAAUACAGCAGUUUUGGGGACGGUGAGGGGUCAUUAAACUCGGACCAGUCCCUAACCGGCCCUUCCCGUAGGAUAAUCCCGCUGUUCCUUCGAGUGGACACCAUUCCCGAAUCAAGGUUUCGUUACGCAUGUAUUCCUCCUGAAGUACUCUCAAAAGCACAAGCCCUUUAGUCCACAAUUGCUGCACUUUCUGUCCUUUCUAAUCACGUGAAAACAGGGGUGCGGAUUUUCGAAGGUAAUCAAAUCAAUUGUACCUGCAAAACAACCAGUUUCCAGAACUACCUCAGCUCAGCUCAAAGAUCAAACAAUACAUGGUCUUUGUGUCAUCACAGCAAGCCAAAUUGCAAGAGCAGCAAGAUCCAAAGCUAAAGGUACCCAAGGCUGAAGGCUCUAGGAGCUAAGAAGAUCGCCUUAAAAAAACAAGCCAUUUCUCCCAAACCAGCAGCGGCGGACCUUAACGGAAAUUAGCUGAACUGUGGGAAAUUAACUGCUACAAGCACUCCACCGCGCCGCGCGGCACGGGAAUCCGGAACUAGCCGGACGGAUCGGAUUCCGCAGGGCAAAGCAAGCCAGCAGCCCGUCCAAGCAAGCAAGCAGGGUGCAGGGGCUUCCUUACCAGGGAAGGAAGACACCAGCCUGCGCCCAGGCCCGGGGGCGGAUCUCCACUCGGCGGCGGCCCGGGGUGGCGAUGGCGAGCGCAGGAAGCGGCGCGAGGAGGAGGCCUGAUCCAGAUGCAGGGCUUUUGCUCCGCGUACGGCAGCCGCGGUGCGGUGGGGGUGGCUGGCUGGCUGGCUCUCCCUCGAGGGUGCUGGGCGCCUUCCCACGCCUCUCCUUUUCCUCGGCCCUCUGCUGUUGAGCUGUUCUCGGCUCCGGCUUGACCUCUCCCUCUCCUCCCUCCCCCACCUUUCUCUCUCCACGCUAACCGAGACAGACAGGGGGAGUUGGUGAGGGCGUGAGGCGAUGGGUAGAUAGAAAAGGGUGGCGCGGGGAGCGAGUAAACUAAUGGCGACUCGCCCCGGUCGCCGUCGGAGGGGGAGGUUGCGCCUCCGGUCCGGUUGCAAUCGGGCCCCUAGAUUCUUGCUGUUUUAUUCACGGAUGCUGACCAGUGUUCGCCGUUAGAAGGUGAAGGGUGGAACGACGUAAUGGAAUGGGAUUAUGACGUUGAUGCACUGUUUACAUAUUUAUAUAAGCCCAAGAAGCAUGAGGGUGAUACUUCCCCUUCACGAAGUGGCCCUUUCAACAAAAGAUGUCUCUCUAAUUAAUAACGGCUAAUAACGUCACUAAUCCAUGUGAUAAUCACAUGAAGUGGCCCUCUCAACAAAAGAUGUCUCUCUAAUUAAUAACGGCUAACAACGUCACUAAUCCAUAUGAUAAUCACAUGUUUAAUUAAUUACAUAAUUAAGGUAAUUGAUCACUAAUUCCAGUGCUUAUCAAUUGCUUCAUGUGAUCUUGUAAACAGUGUUUGUAUAACUCCUUCAAAAAUCAUGUGGAAAAAUAUAAGGAGUAAUGUAGAUAUGUCAUAGGAAAAACUCCUUUAAAAAUCCCUUAGGGAAAAUAUAGGAGAAAAUGUUAUAUGAUAUAUAUUAUUGCUUUGUAAUGCAUAUUGCCUCAUAAAAAGCUCUAUAUGAGAAAACCUUGAUAGGAAAAACUCAUUAGGAAAAGAGUGCAAUAUUCAUAAUAAAAGAUUAUGUAUAUCCCCCUGAUGCUUGCAAAUCUUUGAGUCGUCUCAUACCUAUUCCAAAAAUAUAUUUCUAGAAUAAUGAUGUUGGUAAGGGCUUUAUGCAUAAAUCUGCAAGGUUAUCACAUGAUUUGGUUUGCAAGAUUUCUAUCUCACCAUUUUUCUGUAAUUCGUGAGGAUAGAAUAAUUUAGGAGCGAUGUGUUUUGUAAUAUUGCUCUUUAUAUAACUUGUAUUCAUUUGUGCAAUACAAGCAGAAUUAUCUUCAUAGAUAAUUGUAGGAUUCGUGAUCGAACCUAUACCAUAUGACUGUUGUAUGUGAUUAAUCAUUCUGCCAUGUGAUUAAUCAUUCUGCGAAGCUAUACGCAUUCAAGUGAAGCUUCAAAUAAUGCAAUUAUUUCAAAAUGAUUUAUGGAUGUGGCUAUAAGAGUCUGUUUUGAUGACUUCCAUGAUAUAGCCAUUCCACCAUGUAAAAAUAUAAAGCCUGUUUAAGAUAUGGCAUUAUGGGGAUCAGAUAAAUAGCCAGCAUAUGUAUAUUCAAUUAUAGUUUUGUCUUGGCCAAAUUUAUAAAAUAAGCCAAGAUCCAUUGUGACUUGGAGAUAUCUGAAAACAUUCUUAACUCCCACCCAACAGCAUUUUGUUGGAGCAGUGCUAUGUCUAGCUAGUAAGUUUACCGCAAAUGCAAUGUCACGCCUUGUGCAAUUUGCGAUAUACAUUAGCGCUCCAACGACACUAAGAUGUGGAACUUCUGGUCCUAAUAACUCUUCAUCUUUAUCCUUUGGUUUGAAUUGAUCUUUAUCAAUAUUAAGAGAUCGAACGAUCAUAGGUGUUUUGGAUGGAUAUGAUUUAUCCAUAUGAAUUUCUGCAGAAUUUUCUGGAUAUAUGCAGACUGAUGUAUUAAAAUCCUUGUUGAGAGAUGCCCAAGCUGUAAGCGUCAGCAAAAUUUGGUUUGACCCAAAUCUUUCAUUUCAAAUUCCGUUUUAAGAUGGUUGCGUGCUUCAUUUAUAUCUUGUGUAUUCCUAAUGAUAUUGAGACCAUCAACAUACAUAGAUAUAAUACAAAAUCCAGUUAAGGAUUUCUUAAUGAAUACACAUGGGCAAUCAUCAUUAUUGAAAAAAUCUUUAUGUAGAAGGAAUUCCUUUAGUCGGUUGUACCACAUUCUUCCUGAUUAUUUUAAGCCAUAUAAUGACUUUUGAAGUUUUACACAAUACAUCUUGCGAGAAUGAUUCUUGUUCGGAAUAUCAAGUCCUUCAGGAACUUUCAUGUAGAUAUCCGAAUCUAGUGACCCAUAAAGAUAUGAUGUCACUACAUCCAUGAGAUGCAUGGACAGACCAUUUUGUAUUGCCAAUGAUAUGAGAUAUCGGAAUGUUAUACCACUCAUAACUGGAGAAUAUGUUUCAUCAAAAUCAAUGCCGGGUCUCUGAACCAUUGUGCUACAAGCCUCACUUUGUAUCUCACCACCUCAUUUUUUUCAUUCCUUUUACGGAUGAAAACCCAUUUUAAUUUCACAGGAAAAAUAUGAUGAGGAGUAAGUAUCACUGCGGAGAAUACCUCUCGUUUUUUGAGCGAGUGCAAAUCUGCCUUGAUUGCUUCCUUCCAUUUGAUCCAGUCGGAGCGAUUGAUGCACUCUGCCAUGGACUUAGCUUCUGGAUCAGGUUGAAGGUCACUUGCAAUCUUGGAGGCAAAAUAAAUAUCAACAUUUGUAGUCUUUUUAUUGAGUGAUUCUCCAGAAUUAGUGUAGUUGAUGGAAAUUUCAUUUACCCCUUGUGACUCAUCAUGAUUUCCCAUAAUAAUAGAGUCAGGGUCUUUCGAUGUCCCAGCACUUAUAUUAUUGUAUGCACUUGUGCUGGGUAUGUGAUAUAUCUGUUGAACAUCAAUAUUAUUUGGAUUUACAAUAUUAAAUUGGUUUCUACCAACUUGAUGUUGAUUUGCAUUUACCGCGUAACCUUCCUUGGUUUCUGCGGAGGUUUUUGUGCAACCUUAUCCUUUGUAACAGUACAUGUCCCCGUCUUAUUUUGAUUUGGGAGAUCUUGAGUAGGAAUUGCUAAUCUUUCUGGUACAUUAAUAAGAGGAUUAUAUAAUUUUGUGAUACCUUUGUAGUCAGUAAAUGCCUCUGAUCAGAUUAUUUGCAAUGUUUUGCAAAUGAAUAAUCUUUUAAACUUCACGUUCAGAUUCUGUAGUACGUGGAUCAAAGGAUUGAAUACCGGUGGCAUUCGAAUUUAUUUCCUAGCAUUUUGUUUGGUACGUAGUCUCCCCUUAAUACCGGGAAAUUGUCCGCAUCGAAAAUGCAAUCAGCGUGCCAGGCUGUGAAUAAGUCCCUAUAAGAGUUCGAGGUACUUUAUGAUUGACGGUGAUUUGUACCUCACAUAUAUCCCCAAUUUUCUAUGAGGACCAUUGAUGUACGCUGCGAUGGUGAAAUCGGUACGUAUACAGCGCAACCGAAUUUCGCAAAUGGGAAAUACUUGGUUGAUUCCCACGUACUAACUGCAACGGGGAAACCGUAUUAUAUGCAUUAGAUCUGAUUUGAAUCAAAUCAGCGGCGUGUGUAAGACCGCAUGACCCCAACAUGAUGUUGGUAAUUUCCAAUUCUGUAGUAAUGGUCUAGCAAUUAAUUUUGCUAUCUUGAUAAGAGAUUCGGCUAAUCCAUUUUGUGUAUGUAUAUAAGGAAAUGAAUGUUCCACAUUAAUGCCUAGAGCCAUACAAUAGACAUUGAAGGCAUGUGAGGAAAACUCAGCGGCAUUGUCCAUCCUGAUGGAUUGGAUAGCAUAUUUAGGAUAAUGUGCUCUUAAUUUGAUAAUUUGAGCAAUGAACCUUGCAAAAGCAUGAUUUCUUGUGGAUAGUAAACAUACAUGUGAGCAUCUAGUAGAUGCAUCAAUAAGUACCAUGAAGUACCUAAAUGGUUCAAUUAAUGGAUGAAUAGGUCCACAAAUAUCUCCUUGAAUGUGUUUAAGAAAUUGUAGUGGUUCAGCCUUAAUUUUAAGAUAAGAGGGUCUUAAAAUUACUUUUCUCAUAACACAUGUCGUGCACACAAAGUUUGAAGGCUUGGGAUAUUUUGAAGUAUUCAAUUUGUGACCUAUUGAAUUGCCGAUAAUUUUUCUCAUCAUCCUAAUUCUGGGAUGACCAAAGCGAUCAUGCCAAACCUUGAAGACAUCAAGAUUUUGAAAAAUUAUCUUGUAUGCAACUUGUUGUACGGGUUUGAUGUAUGUGUAAUACAAUCCUGUUGAUAGGGAAGGAAUUUUCUCAAGCAUUUUCUUGUUAUAUCCAUCAUUUUUAGUGAUGAAUAGAUAUUCAUCUUUGUUGUCACUGUAUGUUUCCACAUGGAAACCAUUGCGACGGGUAUCUUUGUAAUAUUAAUAGGGUACGAGUUGAAUCAGGAUACAGGAGUGCAUCCUCAAUUACUAUUUGAAUAUCCAUAGGGAGAAUUAUUGUGGCCCGACCGGAACCAACAAUCACAGCAUCGCGGCCCGCGAUAGUAUGGUGUUGAUGGUGCAACUAUCCACCAAUCAAAUUUCUUCCACCAUUUGAAUUGUCCCUGUUGGAGCCUCGUCAAAGCAAGUAAGGCGAGGUCACGACACGAAGGCGAAAAUACGCCGAACAAGUGUAACUUUGGUUGUCUUAUCAAUGAAUAGUAACGGUUUCAAAGGGGACUGUUCACAUCCUUUUAUAGUGCCAUAAAGUUAUAUUUCCGUAUACCUGUUAUACCCAUACCCAACCACUACAUUCCAGGCAUAUUUCGUACAAGAUAGUAACUUAACCCUUACACAGGAUGUCGCUUUCAAGUGAGAUUACAUUUCUAGCCCCUCCCAAAGUCUUUAUUACCAAAGUGAUCCAUAGUUGAAGCGACUCCAGGACUACUCUGACUUUUCCUUCCUCCACUCGUCAGCUUUGCCCGCACCGAGUGCGCCUCCAUGCGUGCUCCACCUUCGUUGGCCGAGACCCGCCAACCUCGGGCUUUGGUCAUGGCAUCUCCUUGAAAUCGAGUCGCUGGGAGUUCCGUGGAGGCCUCAACUUCGGGAAUCCUCGCCUACAAAACCACAGAACGAAUAUCUUCGGACGAGUUAGCUUCGAUUAGUCAUCGACUUCGGGGAAGAGUGUAACCACGAAGUCAAGUUGGUGUCGGGGAGGGCUCCGCACCGGCUUCGUUUAGGGUGUGUUGUGGGGCGGUCCCCAACAGUCCCCAUAGGAUAAUCUAAAAUAAGUAUAUCAAAAUUAAGAUUUUGACUCAUAGGUUAUAUAUAUACAUACUUUAUUUAAAUAAGUAUCAUAUGUCUUACAAUACUUGUGACAACAAAUAUUUACAACACAAUAUUACAUAAAUAUGGUUUAUAGAACUAAGUUCUUUUGGGGAGCAUGGAGACUAAUUCAUGUCUCCAAACAUGUCAUUGGAUUGAAAAUCCAUGAGCAUGUCGUCAGUGCUGAAUAAGUUAUCCAAUUGCGGUGGGAUCUUCUCAUUGUUGUGUUCUGCAGGAACAUCUUUGGAGCAACUGGCGUCAGUAGAUUGAGUAGUGAAGUGCGCUUCAAACAUGCCCUAUGAACUUGCUUUCCAGCAUAUUUUUGGUAUAAAUCAACGAAAUGCUUGGCAGUGUGACACUUUCUAGUGGUGUGGUUAUCACAACCACACCUUUGACAAACUUGAGAAUUGUCAUGAUGAGUAUGUUUCUUAAAACUGCCUUUACCUUUGUUAGAACUUUUGCCUUUCUGGUAAUUCUGUUUCUUCCAUUUUUCCCUUGAAAUUCUUUUUGAAUUUCUUGCCACCAAACUUUUUGUUAUUAUUAUGAGCAUUGAAGUGAACUUCGGACAGAGGUGUUGCACCCAUGGGGCGCAGUUGAUGGUUCUUUGUUAAAAGCUCAUCAUAUUUUUCUAUUUGAAAUAAAUCAUAUAUUAAGUCAGAAUAUUUGGUGUAAUUGUGGCGGCGGUAUUGUUGUUGCAAUAUCCUAUUUGCGGAGAGAAAUGUAGAUAAAGUCUUUUCAAUCAUUUCUGCAUCAUCCAAAGGUUGAUUACAGAAACAAAGCUUGGAACAAAUCUUGUGAACUGCAUAAUUCUGCAACAGAUUUGAAAUCCAUAAGACGGAGUAGAGACUACUCGCGCCUUGCUUCUGGCAGAAUUACACUUUGUUGUUGAUUAUAGCGCUCUUUGAGUGAAUCCUAAAGUUUCUUAGGAUCAUCUUCCAUGAUGUAUUCAUUUUUUACAUCUGGAUGAAGAUGAUGCCUUAGAAAGUGCAAGGUUCUAAACUUGUCUGCUUCAGGAAUAGGAGUUUGUGGAUUAGGUUCAUUGAGUGUUCCAAUAAAACCUUUUGCUGUAAGCACUAUUUUUACAUCCAUAGCCCAAGUCAAAUAGUUGGUACCAUCUGCUGCAAGUUCUGUGAAAUCUUUGUUGAUUAAAUGAGCCAUUUUUCUACAUGAGAGAACCAUGUAUAGGAUUAAUUUACUGAGGUAAAUUUAUGUUGUAAAGUGAGCAAAAUAGUGAAUAUAAGAUGAUUCUUACAAUAAAAAUUAAGGUAUAGGAUAUUUUAAUUCAUGUAGGAAUAAAUGACUUGAUAGUCGUAUUCAAUGUUGUCCAUUUAUAUGAAAAUUGGAUGUACACUUUGAAGGUAAUCAUCAAAAAGAUGUAGACCUCUCAGUGAUGAGCAAAAGCUGCCUAAAAGCACGAUCUCUGGGCAGAUAAAUUCUUAGAAAAGAACUUAACACAGCCGGUGUCUAGGUCGCAUCACCUUGUGUUGUUCCAAAAUCAUAUGCCUUAAUUUUAAUUUUGCUUUAUGUUCUACUUGAUGUAGAAUAUUGAUUAAGUAUUAAUCAUGCAAAUAAAAAUAAAUUGCAUAUGUAAAGAUUGUUCUAACACCAAUGAAAGAUCUGCGGAUCAUGAUGAUGCUCAAUUAUUGCAGUAAAGUUGGCAUCCUUAUUACAUGGGUGCUAAUUCCUGAUGGUAUAUCUAACAAUGUGCAUGAGAACAGAUAUUUACAUAACAAUCCAGGCAGAAUAGAAUAUUCUAAACAUGUAAAUAAAGGUAAGCCUGGGACUAUCUUGUAAAACAGAAGAGGCAAGGUAGCAUGGUCCGGCCUGGGCUCUGCCCGUAGCAUCCCACCAGCCUGCAGGCUGUGCAGGCCGCACCACCGGUCUGGCCUACGGGCCGGCUCCGACCUUGUGGCAGCCCAAGUGGCCCAUCCGGGCACAGCCUGUACAAAACGGUGGAGGAACCGGUUAAGGUUCCCAAUCCCUAACUGCGCCUCCCCCGAAGCCGCCGCCACCGGCCAGCCGCGCGGAGCCACGCCCGCUAUUGUCCGCAUCAUCGCCGGUCACCGCUGGUGCUGACGCCGCCCCACGCCUCUGCCUCCAUUGCGCCGCCCCCUCCCUCCCAGUUGUCGGCUUACCGCCGGCCGGCCGUUCAGCUCUCCGAGGAGAGCCCCAACGCGGUGGAGCUCCAGGUGCCGCGCCGGAUGCCUGGGCAGCGGUCAACGGCCACGAUGCGGCCGAGGGGGCUCGGUGCGGCGGGCACCGCCGCCUAGAUCGUCGUAGAGGACGCGGGCGAGGGCCCACCGUCAUCUUUGAAGAACGGCGGCACACCCCGGUGAGCCGCCAUGAUCCCGACGGUGAAGCUCGGAUGGGCGGCCGUGGUACUCCCAACGAGGUCGGAGGUCAUGGUGGCGGCGGUGAAGGAGGUGAUGGCGGUGUGGCGGCUACUGUUGGUGGAGGGACUGGCCUGAGGACCGAAGUCGGCGAUGGCAACCGCCACCAUUGUCGCCGCCGCCAGUGAGUUGAGGUCAGGAUGACCCCGAUGCCUUCCAUGGUGCUCCCUGGGCGACGGAUGCGCAACACAAGAGGAUGGCGAGGUGGCUCCUCUAGUGGUGUGGGUGUCAGUAGAAGAGGCGCCGCCGAUGGUGAGCCUCAUCCAGUGGAUACAAUGUCGGCGGUGUACGGUGGUGUAGCCGUAAGUGUGCGCUCGGAGGAGGCACUAGUGGAACUGCUUGUGGUCGUUAGCGCCUGGCGUGUUGCAGGCCAUGAGAGGCUGGGCUGCUAGCCUGGACUUAGUGGUGGAGUGCGGCGAGGAAUGCGUCACUGAGACGACUAGCGUCCCCAUCCAGUGAAGCCACGGCAUCCUCGACCACCACGGAAGCGACGACCAUGGCAACCGCGGCAUCCUGCAGGACGACGGCCAUGGCGUGCAAAAAAGUUGUCGCCUCUGUUGUAGAAGCAAAACCUUGAGCGUCUGCCAAGGUUCCAGCGUCGGCCACCGAGAAGAAGAACAAGGAAGCCAUUUUCUAUGGCAAUGAAGCGUAAGUGUCCAGAAUCCAUCUUAGCCUCUAGUGGUGAGGCCAUCUGGCCUCUGUCCUUCUUCUUGUGCUCAUUGUACAACAAAGUGUCUGAUGACAUGUUAGAAAGUGAAAAGUGGAAUGAUGUAAUGGAAUGGAAUAAUCUCAUUGUUGUACUGUUUACAUAUUUAUAUAACCCUAAGGGGCAUGAGGGUGACAGUUCGGAAGGGGCAUGGCUCCUUCACGAAGUGGUCCUUUCAUCAAAAGGUGUCUCCCUAAUUAGUAAAUGCUAAUGACAUCACUAAUCCAUGUGAUAAUCAUAUAUUUAAUUAAUUACAUAAUUGAAGUAAUUGAUUGAUCACUAAUUCUAGUGAUUCACAGCAUUCACGACUCCCGUGUGCACGGUCUUCUUGUGCUUUUUGUACCGCAGGUUAAGACUAGGUUAAAUGAUGAUGAAUGAAUGGGUCAAGCUGUGUGUGACUAGCAGCAGGGAACAGUGGUCCUUCUUGACCUUUAGGACUGUUACUAAAAAUUAGAUGCAAGAGGAGUGUCAUCUGAAAAUUGGAGAUGCAAAUUCCAGAAAGAUGAUGUGGGGAUGUAGAUAUUGUACAGUGUGACGAUGAUGUACAUGAAUUUGACUUUCUUGAUCCUAGCGAGGGAGGUGGCCUGGAUGCGAUCAGCGAGGGUACUUCCAGUACUAGAAACCAGUUCUAUGUCAACGUAGCUGCCAUGACAUGGUUAUCAAACUCGUAUAUUGACAGUACGGUAAGUGGUCCUAAUAUUCCCGUGACUAGAGAGGGUGCGUCAAUUUGGUCCUAAUAUUUACUUGAUUUUGCAAAAAAAACAUAAAAUGAAAUUACCUCUUCUCUAAAAGGAAGUGUGGCAUGGUGGAUGGCAUGUUAAGACAUAAGUUAUCGGUUCUAUUUCUCUUUGAUAUCUUUGGUUGGAACUAUCUGAAGUUAUCUUUAACAUUCCUUGCUACUCCCUCCAUCCCAAAUUACUAUCUUAACAUUUCUUGCUACUCCCUCCGUCCUAAAUUACUAUUUGUUUUGAGUUCUCUAGGUACGUAGCUUUUACUAUGCGCGUAGAUAUAUAUUAUGUUUAGAUACGUAGCAAAAGCUAUGUAUUUAGAAAAGUUAAAACGAAUAGCAAUUUGGAACGGAGGGAGUAUGUUUUUUUAAGUAAAACGCGGCAUGCCAGCAAUAUCACACUAUAAGAAUUGUUUAUUAGCUAUGUCAUUGUCGUGGCAAUAAUGAUCUCUUCUAAAUCAAGUCAUCCUUUUGGUAUUUUUCUACACGAACACGUUCACAAUACUAAGACCAUUUCCUUUUGACUUCUACACACGCUUGGGUUUUAUUAUAUGUAACAAUAGCCUGGAAAAUGUGUAGACUUUGGUCUCAACAUUUUUUUUAGACUUGGUCUAAUCACUUGGGGGGUUGGGAGAAAGUUGAAACAAUAUGCAUUAUAUUACUCUUGAUUAUUCGUCGAAAAAAUAUAUUGCUCUUGAUUAUUCGUUGAAAAGAAAAAUUACUCUUGAUCAGCUCUUCUCCUGAUGAAGCAGAGUGGUGCUCGCUAAUUAAUCAUGGACUCGCGGUAUGCUAUGCGAUGAGCAGAAAAAUACUAGUAUAAUGCAAGCUCCUGCCCCUCUCAGCACCUUAUGAUGUUCCUUUACGUGCAAUCAAAGACAUAACCCAAAAUAUCUCCCAAAUGAUAAGUCUUUUUUUAAAAAAAAAACUCUCUAAUUCCAAGGCAAUAGCCGCAAAUCCCAUCAUUAGCAGGGUGAUAUCGGCAAACAGUCGUCGGCUUUAACCGGUGCGGUACCGGGAUCCACGAGCGACGCGCCACCGUCCCGCGCAUGGCCAGGUGGCGCCCAUCCGAAACACCAAACGGAUGAUCCAACGGCCAAUCUAUCUUCCAGGAGUAGGUGCCCGAUGACAAGUGGUCCCGCCUUACCAGCGGCUUCCUGUAGCGUGGGCUAGUUGUUGAGUGGUGGCCACGUUGGUUAGCGUUUCGUGGGAAAGCACGGAUCGCGGCCGUCCGUUCCCGUACGGCCGACAGAUCCAACGGCGUAGACGUGGUACCGUGCUCCUAGCGCCGGCGAGCACGUGGAGCGACCGGUGGGAGUGCUCGCGACCGGUGGGAGCAGCAGCACAAAAUACUGACCCGACCGACAUGUCCCGCGAGCUCGUGUUUAUAAUGCGCCUCCGGCCCUCCGUGUAGUAGCUGGCGCUCUUUCUUAUUCUUCAGACGAUGCAACUAACCAGUUUGUUUCACCCAUUAUUCCCAGCGAAUGGUCAUUGCCAAUGGCAUCAAAGUCAACACAAGAACUUUAAUUUUAUAAACACUGCUUCAUUUGGCGAUUGGUAACCUGCCAUCUCUUUUUGUUCAAAAAAAACUAAGCCGUUGGAUUAACUACUAUACUGCCCGAUCAUUCCUGCUGCUACAGGCUAAGUGCUAUUGGAGGAAUUUUAUAGGAAAAAUGUAGGAAUCUAAAACGUAGGAAGGAAGAUGCUCAAAGCGUUUGGAAUGGAGGAAUCCUCCGUUCCUUUCUUUUGGAAUCCUGUAGCAGCCUAGCUAUUUCACAGGAAAUAAAACAUCCACUUCAAUCAGUUGUUUUCUUUCCCUCGCAUGCUGAGGCAGCGCACAUGAAGACCAGAAGAAAAUUGAGCUGUGUUGAGCCGCUAAAGAAGAACUGUUCCGACCCCAAGCUUCUUCGGUCUGGACUGACACCGUCGCUGUCCUGUGGGCGGCCACCAACCAGCGCUAGCUUGCCGCUCUUGUUACCCUGCUCCGCUCAAUAUUAGCUGCUCGGUGACCCAGAUUCGCUCAAAUUUUCUUGGCUUCUCCCCUGGAUUGAUUAGAUGAGCACGAGAGAGAAGUGAAGAAUGAAUGAAGAGCCAGCCGGAGGGGAUGAGAACGAGUAGACCAGACGGACGAGAGAUAGAUAUGUGAGACUUUGAUGAUGAUCUCAGCUUGGGUCCAUAUGUCAGGAGCUAAGUAGUUAAGAGAUGCAAAUGGUUAUAAGUGCGUGGCUGUUUUCCCCCUCCACUCGUGGGACCCACCUAAUGCUGGUUUCGAUCUUAUUCGUGCCUUCCAAACACCACUUCUUACGUUUUCUUCAUGUUUCCUUUCCUCUGUUUUGCCAUUACAUACAAACUCUAUUCCCAUGAUUUUUCUCCAUCGCUCUGUUUUUAUUCCUCCGGUCCAAACAGGCUCUUAUUGGUGUCGCGAAGAAUCUAAGGACAUGUGACACUGACACUGUGCAUGUUAAUGGGAAUGCCGUCUUGUUGAUUUGAAAAUAUGAAAGAUAUGCCCUGCUUUUUGCCUAACGAUGAUACUAUCUCCAUCGUCCCGGUUGUUGGAGCAACCACUGAGUGUUUGUAUACCAUAAAUCUGCCUCCGCCAUAGGUCCACCACAUCACCAAAGAUGUUGCCGUCGUUGGCUUUAGUUAACGCCUAGUGAAAGCGCAAAGCGCUAACUACUCCCAUUAGCUGAUGGAUGUGACCUUCGCCCACUACGUUCAUUAAAAAACAACUGGAAUCUUUUCGCAAAAAUUAAACAAAUGGAUUAGACAUUUAGAGUUUAGACUACCCUUUUGCCAUGCUUGUUUGUCCCUGUUUACCCUUUGUGUUCACACGAUGGCACUUGACACGCGGUCAGUAAUCUCGUGUUUUCCCGUUACACACCCAAUCAGUCUCUCAAGGUGAAACGAGGCACCGCACAGCGCAGCAGCGUAGAGCGAAGGGGGAAAAUGACUCGUGAGUCGUGACGCGGACGAAGUCGGUGCGGUGUAGCAAGAGCCAGCUCUGCCAACUAACGCCGCGUCGAGCAGCUGGUGCCGCGACAAAAUAGGUUUUCGACGUACGGAUAAGUGGCUCUGUGGCCUGGAAAAGUUUUGUGCUAAUCUGAUGGGGUCUCUUUGGUGCCAACAGUCCAUGCUAGUAGCUUCAUCCUGGGCAUGAUGGUCCUCCUCUCUGGGGGUUGGUGAUCUAACCACGCCGCACGCCUGCACAUGGCGAUGCCGAUGGUGAUGCAUCAUUGGAGUCGGAGUAGUUCAGUGCUUAGAUGUUGUUAGUGUCUGGGCCUGCUAACCUCAUUUCUUCCGGCGGCGGCCUACCAGUUAUAUCCUGGCUAGCUUGGCCCAUACAAAUUAAGGCCCACAUGUAGCCCAUACGAUUAACAAGCCUCCCUCCCAACAAAAGAUUGCGUUAUUGAUCUCAGUCCCAAGGAGAAUACGAAAAACUUCAGAAACACCGGCCGGAUUCGACGCUUGGCUUUCAGGGAAUCAGGUUCAGGACCCGGGUGCAGUUUCAUCAGUCGCGGCCACCGCGGGCACCACCCGCCAGAGAACCCCACACGGGCUGGGCUGCCGCGCCUGCACCAGCCUGAAUCUGUGAUGCACAGCCACGGCACGGCAAACAGGACGACCCGGGGGAGUGGAGACAUCGACAGAGGUGGUCAUGCGCGGCCACGCGUGGCAGCAGAGCAGAGCAGGCAUGGCCGGCUGCCCGGCUCUGGGCUCUGGCUGUCCUCCUCACCCACACGAACAGCAUGCCUGCAUUCGUGCUGGAGUUGUGCGUCGUUCAGCAGCCGCUGGCACACGCACCAGGACGCGAAGCGGCCUUGGAAAAGAAACAUGGAUCGGAGAAGCUCCUCGUGCCCGCGGCUGCAAAAAGACUCCCUUUGGAACGAGCAAGUUUUGCGGCCUGUUCGCUUCAGCUUAUUCAGCCGGCUUAUCAGCCACCAAACAGUGUUUUCCUCUCACAACAAAUCAGCCGUUUCAGCUUUUCAGCCGGCUUAUAAGCUGAAGCGAACAGGCCUUUGAAAUUCAGCUAAGUUUUUUUGGAUGGGUUUUAACCUUUUUGGGUCAACCUAAUGCAUUGGGACGAUGCAAAUCUUCUCAAAGAAAAGUGGGAUCCCCUAAACUGCAAAACACAUUGGGGCGCCUGGGCAGCAGCACACUGCAGCUCCACUGUCGUGGUGGACUAUUCUUUGUAGCUCUUUUGCAGUGAUCGGCGAAUGAAUGCUAGCAGCAGAACCAGGAGCGAGCAGGCACGCAAGCGAGUAAAUGCGGUGCUCUCGAGCACCACCACCGGCACCGGCAUGAUGGCCGGCCGGGCGGCCGGCGAGGUGAGCGCGCGGUGAUGAUGCGCGCAGCGCAUGGAAGGGGAGCAGGGGGCAAAGGCUAGCAGCGUAGUGGUAACUACUCCUAGCGGCGCAGUAUAGUGCUCCCACCCACUGCUUGUUGCUGCUGCAGGUGCAGGUGCAGGCGCAGCUGGCAGCCGCUGCGGCUGCCGGUGCCGGUGCAUGCAAUGCCUGCGCAGGUAUUGUCGCGUCAAAGGCGCCAGCGGCAGCGCCAUCAAUUCUGAUCCACCGAUGAUGCGUCCCUGCUCUGAAAUCUCGCCACAGCGGAGGAGUUUUGUCCCGUGAUGAUGAUGAUGGCCUUGGCCAGUUGGCCGUGGGUUUUAGUAGCACCCGCACGGACAUUAUAAUCGGAGCGACUAAUGCCCGCACGCCCGCACGUACAAAUGAUGGGUUCGGCUCGCCUCGAAAGUUUUCAGGUCUCGAGUUCCAGUCCCUACGACGAUUGUACUGCACAGCAUUUUCGACAGCGGAAAGGCCUGGAUCAACGCCGAAGGCUGGUGGAGGAAAGAAAGGACGGGAGCUUUUCCGCGAUGUGAAAGCGAGGAAUUCGCCGCAUCCAAGAAAGAGGCAAGGCGUCCCCAACCAAAGAAAUCGCCAUGAAACCAGGUCAAGCUCGCCUAACACGCGCGGCCUGCCGUGCCGUGUGCACCUUCCCCUGUGCACGCGGCUCCUUCAGGGGCCGGCACGAGCGCGACGCGGAACAGGAACGGGGAUGGCACGGCUUGAGACAGCGCGUUCGCCUUCGCCACCAGCCGCCGAUGGGGCUCGGGCUCCACCCCCACUCUCCCCCUCGUGCGCUGAAACGUGGGAGCCGGAGUUGGAACCGGAGCCGUGGAACACGGCAUCGGUGGCUGGUGGAGCGGUGGAUUCGGAGCACGGCACGGCAGCGCGCGUCGUCCUGCUUUGCCCCCUCCCUGCCCUCUCGCUGCGCCCCAACGCCGUGGCCGCCACCGCCUUCCGCGCCCCAUUAGUUUAAUCCGCGUCGUUCCUCACGAGACCAGACCCGCGCGGCGCGCAUCGUCUUCCUCAUCAUCAGUACGAUGCACACCCCCACCACGAUCAACAAGAAUCGAAGGGGGUGUUUGGGAAACCCCUGUUAAAGUUUAACACCUGUCACAUCGGAUGUUUGGAUGCUAAUUAGGAGUACUAAACAUAAGCUAAUUACAAAACUAAUUGCACAGAUGGAGUAUAAUUCGCGAGACGAAUCUAUUAAGCCUAAUUAGUCCAUGAUUUGACAAUGUGGUGCUACAGUAACCAUUUGCUAAUGAUGGAUUAAUUAGGCUUAAUAGAUUCGUCUCGCGAAUUAGCACAAGGUUCUGCAAUUAGUUUUAUAAUUAGCUCAUAUUUAGUCCUCCUAAUUAGCAUCCGAACAUCCGAUGUGACACUGUUAAAGUUUAGCACCUCAUAUCCAAACAGCCCCGAAGAGGAUUAGAGGAACACAAGCGGGUGGAGGUUUUGUUGCGGCGACCCUGUGGGGCCGUGCCUUCUGCGAGCGGGCCCUCUGUCAGGUUGCCUGCCAGGCGGGUGGCGAGAGCGGCGCGGCAGCUGUCUGGAAUUAAAAACCCAAAAGGGGAUCCUGGCCGAGAUCCUGUCGCCGCCAAAAGAAACAUUUAACUUGCGUUGAAUGUAUUAACCGCCGGCACUGCGCGCUCUGCUUUUUGUCACACUCGAGGCUGGAAUUUCCCCCCGUUCUCUUACCCCUAAAACUUUUCGCCCUUUUGUUCUCCCUUCUAGUUCUCACUCUGCUCCGGCUUAAUACGCCGUUUAGACGGAGCUCGCAGUGCACCCAUAGGGCAGGACGGCAGGUAACGCUCCGGUCAGUCAAGCACGUGUUCAAACUUCAAACGUCCCUUUUCAAAAAAACUUCACGAACAAGCGUGAUUGGCUGCGGUUGAGCUAGAAAUAGUACGCCUCUUCCUUUGACCCUUUGACUUUUCUCAUGAGUCUGCGCGGGAAGCGCCGCGACCCAGCAGCCGGUGGGUCCCACGCGGGGCCCGCCCGACUCACUUUUUUUUUCUUUUUUUCUUUUGAAUUAUUUUUUCUAUACUAAGUUAUAUUGUACAUACGUAUAAAUGAUGUGCAUAAAUUCUGUUAACACCAUUCUCUCAAAAGUUAUGACAAAUGUUACGCUUUUGACAAAUGUUACACGUAUAAGUUAUGUAUAUUAUAAGAGUUGUAUUACAAAAUUUAUCACCUAAAUUGUUGUUAGGAAAAAAUUAUGCGUACAAAUUGUGCAUAUAAGUUACAGCUUUUAAAAAAUAAAAUUCGAAGUUAUUCUUACAAAUUGUACGUAUAAAUUCUGCACGCUAUUAAAGUUGUGCUAAAAAAUUAUCUCAUAAUAAAUUAUAUUAUGAAGUUAUGUAUCAAACUCAUGUAUAUAAGUUAUAAUAUUUAAAAAUGGAAAGUCACGUGAUUAAAAACUUUUCGAAAAUGAAAAGCGGCGGGAUGGUAGCGGGCCGUCGGAGAUCGAGCGCUCACGGCCCUCCUGGCGCGAGCACUGCCCUCGCAGUGGCCAGAGGGCGCUGCAAGUCACCAUCUCCGCUGAGCUUUUGACUUGCCCAUAGACCAAGGGUCAAACGGUCGUUACCGUGGCAAGCACACGUUUUUCCCCAUCCCUAUCCGGGGCCAGGCCAUUCCUCUCCGCUGAUGCCUUCGCUACGCGCACCCGGGGAAACCACACGGCCCGAAAAGCGGGGAGCAGAACAGAAAGCGCUCCCCCUCGUCCGGUCGGCCACUUCUUUCUGUCACACGCCAAAGCCUUCUUCUUUAACAAGGCAGAGGCGCCACCAGCUGCUCCACCUCGGCUCGUCCCCUCCCUCUCUCCUCCCCGAACGAACGAACAAAAAGGAGGCAUCGCUUCCCUGCCCUGUUGCUGCACUGCGCCUCUCCCCCCACCGGGUCUCCUCAGCUCAACCUCUCUCGCCGCCUCGCCCUCCCUCCGUCCGCGACUCCACCCGAUGCCGCCGCCGCUCGAGGCGCGCGACUACAUCGGCCUCGGCGCCGCCGCGUCCUCCUCCUCGUCGUCCUGCUGCUCCGGCGGCAGCGAGGGGGCGGCGGGGCCGCACCUCGCGCUACGGCUCGGGCUGCCGGGGUCCGAGUCCCCCGGCCGCGGCGCGGGGGCGGAGCACGUCGACGCCGCGCUCACGCUCGGCCCCGCGCCUCCCAGGGGUGGCGCCAAGCGCGGGUUCGCUGACUCCCUCGACCGGCCCGCGAAGCGGGAUGCUGAUGCCGGUGACGCUGAUGGGGUCGUGAGGGGGGAGGAGGAGAAGGGUGUGGCUGAAACCGCUGCUGGAGCUCCGCGGGCUGCCAAGUAAGUUGGUGUUGCAACUAAUUGGUUUCGACUUUCGAAUUAGGAUGAUCCGAUUUCAGACUGUUCUUAGCUUAGCUCGUCAUAAAGGCCAACUUUUGCCUUCGCUGUGGAGGAUUUGUAUGUCGGUAUGCGAUGAUAGUUCGUUAGGUCUGUAAUGACAGUAUUGAUGAUGCUUUGAUGCCUUGAUUGUGGCUGGUAAGUACUGAAUAUAGAAGUGAAGCAAUUGAAACCUAAGCACGUACGAUGAGGAACAAAUUUCCUGCUAGUUUUUUAGAUAGAACUGCUCACCCAUCUGCUUUUGUAGAAAGCAUCUAACAGGAUAUCUUACACUUGAAAGCUGGGUUACCUGCACACCAUCAAGAUCAGCAUCAGUACGGCAGUUUGUUAUGGAUCAAAAGGCUAAUUUUCCUGGUAAAAUCAACACUUAUAAACGGCAGUUCCAAGUUAUAACCGACUGCACAAGUUAUAGCCACUUGUGCUAGUAUUGUCACAGAAGCCUAAGGAAGUUGUGUGAGAGAAGCAGUCAGAGUCUGUAUCAUGUAGGCUCUAAAUACAGCUAGGGUACAACGGAAUGUGUUGUUUCCUGGUUGGAGGCUUGGACAUAAUACAAUCAUGGGUCUUGUCAUUUGUUGAACAAUCUUUUUUCAUUUUGUUUGGUGUGGCGUGGACUUAUCUUUGGGACUUUAUGUUCUAGGGUGCAAGUUGUUGGAUGGCCUCCUGUUCGGAAUUACCGAAAGCAUACACUAGCUGCGAGUGCCGCAAAGACAAAGGGGGAAGAUGAAGGUAGGAGUGAGGCAGGAUGCUGUUAUGUUAAAGUCAGCAUGGAUGGAGCUCCAUACCUAAGGAAGGUGGACCUCAAGACCUAUUCGAGCUAUGAGGAUCUCUCGCUUGGUCUUGAGAAAAUGUUCAGUUGCUUCAUCACUGGUAAGUGCUUCUGUUUUCCUUAAGUUCUUCUGUGGCAAUUCUCAAUUUAUUUUACUCCAUGCGGUUAUGACACCUGUUAUUCUGAUGUAACGAGCUAGUGCGUCACCAGUACAUGUACAAUUAGGAAUAAUGUUUUCUGCUAGUCUUGAGGGGUCCAUGGGCAGUAGUUGUUGAUGGAUGAUGGCCGCUGCACUAUUUUGACUAGUCAAUGAUAAUGUAUCAAAAAUUAAUUUGUUUAAGGGGCUAGGUAGAAUGCCCUUUCAAAAGAAAAAAAGAGAGAAAGUCAUGCUGUUAACUAGGUUCUAAAAAUCUUCUGCAUAUAUAGCAACGAAAGGAGUGACUAGUAGUUUGCACUAGCUGAAAGUUUGCGCCUACUCUAUUUUGCCUAGUCAAUGAUCAGCAUGUAUAUCAAGAAAUAAGUAUUGACCAGGAUUGUUUAGAAUGCUUUUUUCAAAAGAAAAAGGAUAUAAGGCGAAGUUGCAAAGUACUACCUCAGUUUAAAUAUAUGAUGUUUAUGACAAGAUAAUUAGUUAAAAAAUGAAACAUCAUUUAUUUAAGCACGGAGGGAGUAUGUCCUAAAGGUCUUAUCCUCCUGCAAGGUAUAGCAAACGAAUGAAAAAUGGUAGUAAACGUUAUUAUAAAUGCCUUUAAGGAUGGGAACAAUGAGAGGCGUUGUAUGUUAACAUGUGUUCCAGAAUUCUCUGGAUCUAUCACUCUGCGAACUUUAAACACCAUUUAUCAUCGUGUCCAUAAAAAUAAGGUAUAUUGUCUACAUGAAUCAUUGUUAGCCCUACUUAGGACCAAGGCCUUACUUUGUUACGUAAAUAUCGAUGCUUCUCAAAUAAAUGCAUAUGCUUAAACUUUUGAUAUUACAGGUAAAAGCAGUUCAGUCAAGCCACCAAGGGAGAGGCUUACUGAUGGUUCUAGGGCUGAUGCCCUUCAGGACCAAGAAUAUGUCCUUACCUAUGAAGACAAAGAUGCUGACUGGAUGCUUGUUGGUGAUCUGCCUUGGGAGUGAGUUCCUAACUUAGUGUGGUUUGAGAUAUUCAUUCAGUUUCGUACUUUCAUUACCCAAAUAAUAGGAUUCCCUUUCUGUUAAUGCAACUGUAGUUAGGAAUUGGAAUUCAGAUCUUGAAAGUGAUGGAGAUUGAUAUAAUUUUUGUCAACACUCUAGACUAAUUGCAAUUGGUUGACACACUUGCAUUUAAGAUAUGGCAACUGAAAACUUGGGGAAAAACGUUAAGUGAAGGGCCUGUAAUUUGAUCAAAUGUUUAGAUCCACUAGUGUGCAAAACUGGCUAUUCUAUUGGGUUUUAUUUUACCAGCUUCUCUGGAAAGUUCAGUUUUGGGCAUUUGGAUUAGAGGAUUCAGAUUAAGUUUGGGUAAUGUGUGAAUUUCUAUGAAUUUCUCAUUUCACCUUCUUAAGAGAAACAUUUUCCCUACGCAACAGCUGAUUUUACUAAGAAUGUGCACCCAUAUGACUUUUAAGAACACAACUGUGAAAGUUUUAUAUUUUAUAUUGGAAGAGGCUAUUCUAUUGUUUUGCUGCCCAGUUCCUUUAUUUUUCCAUGUGCAGUUCAUUAGUUUUUUCCUCAUCUUGUGUUGUUUGUGAUACCUGACAUGAAUUGUUUGCAUCUUCCUUUCCUUUUUAUUGCUGAAGUAGCUAUACAUUUACUAGUUAUUUCUGAUGACUGGUAUAUAUAUUUAUCUUUGGCCCUUUUUGCAGCUUGUUCACUACGAUUUGUCGAAAACUUAGAAUCAUGAGAGGUUCUGAUGCUGCUGGCAUGGGUACGUGUACACACUAGCAUUCGUCCAUCUUUGACUGUUUAUUGCUUAAGGAUCUGUUCAACGUUAAAUCUUAAGCAUAAUUUUAUAUUUUCUUCUGUGCUAUGAUUUUGUUUAUAUUGGGUUGCUGGGUUGCAUACUAUAUUAGUUGCUGAUCACUGUUACCCGUCCUUGUGGUAAUUUAGAAUCAACUGAAGUAUGCAUUUGAAUUAUGUAUGUUCUUGUCCUGCAAUCACAACAAAAGCUGUAAUAAAUGUGAAGGUAAUAAUGUGAAGGCACGCAAACAUGGGAAAAGUGUGGACAGAGCAUGCAUCGGUCACACUUACAAUCUGACAUUGCUGUUGGUCUCUAGAAAAAAUAUUUUAGUGCUGAAACUACUAACCUUAUGAUAAGGCAAAUCAUAGUGAAUACUUAUUUCAUGGCGACAUAGCCAACAUGCUUGGCUUAACACAUUCUCAUUUGAAUGUUUGGAAUGCACAUCUCUGUCCAGUGUGAACUACAGUGUAAUGUUAUUGUAGCUGUCUUCUUUAGUACUUAUGACUUGGAUGAAGUUCAAUAUAGUCCUCAUAUUAACUGUUAACGAUUAAGACCAACUCAUUGUAUGCUGGAACCAAGUAUCUUGAAGCUUUUCAGAAAAGAAAAUUGUAUCUUGGACCAUAAUUCUUUGUUAAUACAUGACAUCAGCGAAUGUUGGCUGCUCAUUUAUUUAGCUGUAAUGUGUAGUUAACAAGUACAUCAGUUUCAUUACAAUUUGUUGCUCUGUAUUGAAUCAUAUUCAAUAUUCCUGCAGCUCCAAGAUCACUGGAACAGAUUGGACGGAACAAAUAGGGUGCCUUGCCGUGCACGGAAUCGUGAAUGUAACAGAGUUUACGAUGGCGCUGAAGGGAGCGAUGUUUUAUCUGAAGUGCUAAGUCUUUUUCCACAUGUGCAGUGAGAUCUGUGGCCUACUGUAAGACGCCCAUUUUGCCCACGAGGUUGUCAUGUGUCAUAGUAGAUGGUCGCUUUUGUCUCUGAAAGAUCACGGUAGCUUACUGCUUCCUCUAUGAUACUUUCAUCAGUUUGCUUAUAUAUUCAGAAGUCUGUACUUCACAUCGUAGAAGUAAAAAAAAAUGUUCAUGUUGUCACAUACGAUUUCUCCCGUGCUGCGCUUUUAAGUCAAUCUAAUUAUUCAGUCGAUUGGGGAAAAAAAAUCUAAUCAUUCAGUCUGUAAAUCGGCUCUGAUAUCUUACCUGAUAGCCUGAUAACGGGUAGUAUAACUCUGUUGAGUUGACCAUUGAGGUGAUGUUGCAUUUACAUUCCUCUGCACUUCUAUGUUGGAUCAGAAUCAUAAGUUACAAUAGCCAUGAUCGGAUUGGUCUCCUGUUUUUUGAGUGAACUGUGCAGCCUGUUCGUUUCAGCUUAUUCAGCUAGUUUAUCAGCCACCAAACAGUAUUAGCUUAUAAGCUGAAGCGAACAGGCCCGUACUUGGCAAUUUAUGGCUGAAUUCGGGAUAUUCCAUGGCUAAUGAAGGUCAAGCUGAGCUAAUUUGGGAUCUUAAUCAUAAGCUCACUUGUAUGCAUUUCGCAAUACAGGGGUCGGUUUCUACCUUUAAAGAAGUAGCAGAUCCCACUUAUAUUGAUGUUCUUCUGAAAUCCAUGUCAGGUACGUGCCGUGUUCUUCGGAUCCCUGAUGUGAUGAAAGCCAGGUGUCAGAUUAGACAGAAUCCCUUUGAAUUUGCAAAAGAAACGGCUUGUUUCCCCUAACAAUCAAAGCCUACCUAUCCAAACAAGUUGCAAUACGAUUGCUUACUUCACGAUUGCGUUGUCCAUCCUCCAAAAAUGAACUCCAAAAAUGAAAAAUAAAGGGAAAAGUCCGAUUUUCACCCAACUGUUAAAAUCAGGUAAAUUUGACCUUUGGGCGGUAUCUAACUGUUAAAAUCAGGCAAAUUUGACCUUUGGGCGGUUUCGAGAGCGGUUUUGCAUUUUCUAGAAAUGUAAAAGUUUAAGUUUAAUUAAAAAAUUAUAACUAAUUCAUUGCAAAUCAGUAAAAUAUCAAAUUGGCGCCAAAAAAUUUCCAAAAAUGUAACCUAUCUGUUGGUGUUGUAUUUGGCAUUAUUUGAAACUUAGUAGUUCAAGUUCCUUAUAUUUUAUUAAGAGCAAUAAAGCACUAGGAAUGUUAACAAAUAUGAUGUAAAUAACUCCAAGUAGAGUACCAACAAAUAGCCUACAUUUUUAGAAAAUUUUGUACCAACUUCAUAUUUUUUGGAAUUGAAAUGAAUUAGUUAUGAACUUUUUUAUUAACCAAAACUUUUAAAAUUUCUAGAAAAUGUAAAACUGGGCCAAAUUUGCUCUGUUUUGGACAGUUGGAUGGCCAUCCCUAUCCGGUUUUAUAGUUGUAGGUUGAAAAUUAAAUUUCAGCUAGUUGGAGGGUGGAAAUUGAACUUUUUCCAAAAAUAAAAGGUGAAGCCAAUAUUUAGCAAGGAAAAACCGGAUCGAGACCUUGCUUCACAGAUGAAUAGAUCAGAAGCAUUGGACGACAAGGGGAUACGCCCGGCCUGGUGCUUGGCGAGAUCCGGUCGGCCAUCCCGGAGCGCUGCGCGUUAUACCAGCUAUCGCAACAGCUCCAGAUCACCACUGUGUCACGACCCCAGUCGCUGCCACCAUUUCCCAACGGGUCCGUGCCACACCCUUGUAGCUGUAGGCCCUCAAGGAUCCGAAGCUAGCGAAACUGCUUACUUGCCUGUCUGGCUGCAAGGCUGCAGCUGCGGCAAGAGAACAAGCGUUCGUUACGCCUCGGCAGCCGAAACAGUGCUGCCGCAUGCUACAACGCAAACUGCAGCUCGACUGUAAAAGCCGGCCCUCUUAGCACGAAUUUGGGAAUCGGGAUCCUCCAAUCCCUUGCGCUCGUGCCGUUGUGCAGUUCGCACCAUCGACUGCGUCUACACUGCCCAGCGUUAACGUUGUCAUGCGCAACCGCUGGUUGGUCUGUGCGCGUGCGUACGUGAGUCACAGUAAAUCCGGCCGGCCGGCCGGCCGAGGCGAGCCGUGCUCCGUCCUGCCGGGUCAUUUAACCGGGCUGCCGUACCGAGCGGCGCGAGCGCGGGCGCGGGCGCCGCUGCCCUCCAUGAUUAUUCGAUCAGGAAGAAGGACGGCCCCCCCUGCGGCGAGGGAUUGAUGAGGCGUGGGGGCUCCGCGGCAGCCUGGUGGCGACCGGAUCACCAGGCGCGCAAAGGGGACCAACGGCACGCCCGAGCCGAGGACCACUGCGCCGUGAGCUUGGGUGCUUGACAUCACACGGAUCGGGCUUGUUUGAUUUGGGUCAAAGCUGCCUGGUCCAGGCAACCAUCUCAGAUGUUGGAUUUUGAUGACCUGAGGUUGGAUGCUGCUGCCUGUGUACGUGAGGCAGCAACCAAACCACCCCAGGUCACCAAAAUCCCGAGCUUCCUCUUUUCAAGCCGCCGGGAAGGAAACGAGAACCGAUCGAGACGCGAGCGCCCGUCUCACCACCGUUUCAGGAACCAGAACCGGCCGCCGAUUGACCAUAUCGAGAGAGGAUGGGCGGCCCCGAGUCACGUAACAUAUCACGGCCCAUGAAUGCCGUCGCGCGCCGCCACUCACGUGCUACGCGGCCCGGGAACGUGUCGAUACGCACGCGCGUGCGCUCUCACGAGAGCGGAGGGACCAGCCGCCCGCCCGCGCGCGAUGCCGAUGUGCCACCGGUGGCGGGCGACGGCGACGGAGCGCGGCCAGUUGCGCGCCACGCGACUCCCGGCGCCGCGGGGGGACGGACAGCCCCAGUGGCCGGGCGCCCUCCGGUCACAUGGCCGCGGGCCCGCCCCCCUCUGCCUGCUUCUGCUCCUGCUGCUACGCGCGCGCGGGCGCAAGCGCAACGCAACGGCCGGCCCCUGUCCCCGUCGCCGUCCGGUGCGUGCCGCUGGCGUGGCCCCAUCGGCCGGGGGCGGCUCUCCUUGGAGCAUCAUGGCAGAUCGAUCCGAGCCCGUUUGUUUGAACGCGUUUGGAUGACAGCAGAAUAGACUUGCAGUUAUGGAUGUCACGCGCGCGUACAUGCGCGGUGCCGGCCUCCUUUAAAUGAACACCCAGGCAUGUAGCUCUGCGAGACAAGCGAGAGGGGCUUUAAACGAACACACGAACUAUGCCAUGCAUGGAGGCAUGGUCCCCGCGUGUGUGGCUCAGUCCCAGCUCCAUGUCUGCAUUGUAGUUGUAGCAGUGGUUUCCCGUUGGAGCUUGCAUUGGUUAUCUGAGGAGUUGUGGGCGCACACGCACAAGGCAUGUCUACAUUUUUUUCUUAUAAAAUCCUAAACAAAAACAAAAGGAUAUGCAUAGUUCCCACCAUAACAUUUUUUUUUAAAAAUAAAUUCUAGUGUUUACAAUAGCCUGUCUACACACCAAAUCCAUCAAUGGCACCUUUGAAUCGUGUCUCUAGCCACGUGACAGAUCAAACAUCACAGGGAGAGGUAACACUCUCGCUCGAGUGUUUCGUUGACAUUGAGGGCUCGUCAUUAGCUUGAGAGGAAAGUGGAGACGAUUCUCAUCGAGGGGAGAUGCUAAGCUUGGUGCCGCUGCUGAAGGUUGAAGAUGAUUGUUGCCCGUCCGAUGUUCAUCCUGUGAUGACCAGUAAUAAAUCGAAUUACUCGGGUGCCCAACAGCCCAAUGGGCAGGUCCGACCCAACAUCGAACGACGACGAACGAUGAGCAUGCACUAACGCCUGCACGUACACACGUACAACGUGCCAUGUGAGCUCUGGCCUGUGGGUGGUGUGUGUCCCCUGCCUUGUUUGAUUCCCCCCUUCUCUAUCAGGGCCGUGUUUAGUUUGGCGAAUUUGGGGGUGCCAAAUUACUGUUACAGCACUGUAGCACACUGUAGCGUUUCGUUUGUAUUUGUGAAUUAUUGUCCAAAUAUUGACUAAUUAGGCUCAAAAGAUUCGUCUCGCAAAGUACAACAAAACUGUGCAAUUAGUUUUUAAUUUCAUCUACAUUUAGUACUCUAUACAUGUACCGCAAGUUUGAUGUGAUGGGGAAUCUUCUUUUUGCAUAGUGUCAAAGUUGGGAGUUGGGAGUAACUAAACAUGGCCCAGGAUACGUGAUGCAUCCCAUUCUCACUACGCCUCCGACAUCCGUACGUGCAAAGCACGAGCAUUGGCCUAUUUCGUACGCAGACAUUACACAGGGGCAUCCAUGGUUGUCCUUCCGUGCACAGACCACACCACAGAGCGCUCCUUCUUCCUUCCCCGCCAAUAAUGCAGCGGCGGGCGGGGGGCGAUGGAGAUCGACGGAUGAGUGGAUGGGCCGAUCCGGAACGUGCGGGCCNNNNNNNNNNNNNNNNNNNNNNNNNNNNNNNNNNNNNNNNNNNNNNNNNNNNNNNNNNNNNNNNNNNNNNNNNNNNNNNNNNNNNNNNNNNNNNNNNNNNNNNNNNNNNNNNNNNNNNNNNNNNNNNNNNNNNNNNNNNNNNNNNNNNNNNNNNNNNNNNNNNNNNNNNNNNNNNNNNNNNNNNNNNNNNNNNNNNNNNNNNNNNNNNNNNNNNNNNNNNNNNNNNNNNNNNNNNNNNNNNNNNNNNNNNNNNNNNNNNNNNNNNNNNNNNNNNNNNNNNNNNNNNNUUACUGCGCCGUGACGCCACCGCCGCCGUACACGUGCUGUGCGCGAGCUACUUAAACGAGCCACCAGCGGGCGGCACAGCCGGCAGCUCAGCUUGAGAGUGGCUGCGCAUGCGCAGGAUCCGCUCGACAGCGCGCGCGUGUAAUCUCAGAGUCACAGCACGAGCAUUCAAUUCACUUGGGGCCCGUCCACCGCGCCCAUAUCAACCAGCUCCGAGCAGUCCCUCGGCGAUCCUUUUGCGCGCGCAGCAGCUCGGUGGUGGCGGUCGUGAGAUGAGCCGCGCGGCGCAGACGGGCGCGGGCGGGGGCGGCGCGGCGAGGCUCAAGGCGUCGCCGCGGGCGCUCUUCUCCUGCGGGAUCUUCAGCACCUGCACGCACCCGGCGCUCAGCCCGACCGCGACGCCGAACAAUAAUGUGGUGCCGGGGAGCGGUGGCAUCAAGGGCGGCGGCGGCACGGGCACGCCCUGCGCCGAGGGGUCCGCGUCGCCGGUGGUGGAGGCGUCGGCGCCGCCGCCGCCCCCGCAGCGGCAGCACCAGCGGGCGCAGAGGAACGUCGGCCCGUCGUCGUCCUCGUCCUCGUCCUCGUCGUCGGCGUCGCAGAGCUUCACGCAGUGGAGGCUGCCGGUGCACCACCCGCCGCACGCGUCGGCGUCCGCCUCGGCGUCGGCGAGCGGAGCGGGAGCCGGCGGGGACGCGCUGCUGAGCGCAGAGGAGAAGUUCGCGGCGGGGGAGGUGGUGGCGGCGCUGCGGACGGUGGAGCGGGAGAUGGAGGCGGCGGCGAGGCCGGUGCCGGCGGGGGUGGUGGCCGGGGUGGUCGCCGCGGUGCGGGAGCCGGCGACGGCGAGGCUGGCCGCGAAGGUGCUGCUUGUCGUGCUGCUGGAGGAAGGGAACAGGGAGACCGCGGUGGAAGCCGGCGCGGCGUCGGCGGCCGUGGAGGCGGUGGCGGCGUCCGGGCCGGCGGGGGCCACAGCGGAGCGCGCGUUGGCCGCGCUGGAGCUCCUGUGCACGGCCCCCGGCGGCGCCGCGGCGGUGCGGAGGGAGGCACUCGCGGCGCCGGUCCUGGCGCGGGCGGUGGAGGGGAUGUCCGCCGCGGCGGAAUGCGCCAUCNNNNNNNNNNNNNNNNNNNNNNNNNNNNNNNNNNNNNNNNNNNNNNNNNNNNNNNNNNNNNNNNNNNNNNNNNNNNNNNNNNNNNNNNNNNNNNNNNNNNGUCGAGGAGGACGGGGCGGAAUCACCACCGCCACCAGAAGUAGUGAAGGCGGUGGUGGCGGCGAUGCAGGGGCGAGUGCAGCGCGCGCGGACGGCGCAAGGGUGCGCAGCUCCUUCGCGCGCUGCAGGAGGCCGGUCGCCUUGGGCUCGCGUGGGACGGCGUCGGCGAUCACUGACACGCGGGGCCCGUCCGCCAGCCACCGGACCCGCGCCUCGCGCCCUAGUACCUUCUCCCCGCUUACACGCGGGGCCCGCGUCGCAGGACCGGUUCCGGGGCAGUGCAACGGAUUUGGUAGCUGCUGUGGGGCCGAGGUUACUGAAGCGUGGGCCCGGGAUGAGGACGGGCAGGAGCAGUGACUUGGCUUUGGUUGGUGAGAUGCUGGAAGAAACGGUCGGUGGGGUGAUUGAUUUGUGGUCACCUUUUGUAGCCCCCCUCCCCCUGUGAUUUGUACCAUCUUUCUCGUGAAAAAUUUAUCGCUCCCAUGACGCGUCUGGCCCA